rnacentral:ncRNA from 1 species
AUUAAAUUUGGGCAAAUUUUACGAAAGUAAAAGACGCAAAGCCACGGGCCUAAAGCAAAAAUGCUAUGGUAGCCGGGUUGCCAAG